rnacentral:rRNA from 1 species
GACGAAGGUGGCGAGCGUUGUUCGGAAUCACUGGGCAUAAAGCGCACGUAGGUGGCGGCGUAAGUCGGAUGUGAAAACCAGAGGCUCAACCUCUGGCCUGCAUCCGAUACUGCCCGACUAGAGGUAGGUAGGGGAGAUCGGAAUUCCUGGUGUAGCGGUGAAAUGCGCAGAUAUCAGGAAGAACACCAAUGGCGAAGGCAGCUCUCUGGGACGGUACUGACGCUGAGACGCGAAAGCGUGGGGAGCGAACAGG